AGAACAAAAUGAUAGGUAGAGAAUGGCCACUUCAGGCUGAUCAUCAGAAAAGGCCUGCCUUUAGGAUAUUUCCCCUCUCUCUCCCUUCCUUUCUAGUUCCCUUGCCAACAGGCCUUCGCCAUCUCACGACUACAUUAAUUAUUACAACAGCUUACUGGAUGGGCUUCUGGACUCCCGAAUCUACUCCAUAUCCUGCUGCUAGACCGAUCUUCUGUUUGAUUGUUGUGGAAAGAAGGGGAUAAGUCCUGUGGAAAAUUGUGCUGCGCUUGGCAUUGUGGAUAUUAUUCCUGCUCUUCUGAACCUUACAAGCUGGUGGAACAGGUAGAUAUUAAUAUAUACUUGCUUUGAAGAAAAACACAGCCUGUUUUGAGAGUUGGACCUGAGCUACUUUGGAUCGUCCUUGGUGACUGGUGUUUAAGUUGAAACAUGAAAGGUAAAUAGGAGUUUGUUAGGCAAGGAAGGAGGUUAUGAGCAUUCACAGGUCUCAAGGCAGAAAGCAGUAUGGUGUUAGAACUGGAAGGGAAACACUUUGGAUAGAACGUGAUGAAAAGA
rnacentral:lncRNA from 1 species